rnacentral:rRNA from 1 species
GACGAACGCUGGCGGCGUGCUUAACACAUGCAAGUCGAACGGAAAGGACCUGCAUUUGCGGGGUGCUCGAGUGGCGAACGGGUGAGUAACAUGUGAGUAACCUGCCCAUGACUUUGGGAAAACUUAAGGAAACUGGGGCUAAUACCGGAUAGGAGCUCCUGCUGCAUGGUGGGGGUUGGAAAGUUUCGGCGGUUGGGGAUGGACUCGCGGCUUAUAAGCUUGUUGGUCGGGUAGUGGCUUAACAAGGCUUUGACGGGUAGCCGGCCUGAGAGGGUGCCCAGCCGCAUUGGGACUGGCGUACGGCGCAGGCUGCUACUGUGAGCAGUAGUCGGGAUUAUUCCACAAGUAGCGGGAGCCAGAUGCAGCAACUCCACUUGCUGAAUAACGGCCUUCGAGUUAUGAACCGCUUUCGCCUGUGACUUAGCAUGUGUGACGGUAAUGGGUAAAGAAGCACCGGCUAACUACGUG